AUUCUAGAGAUAGAAAGUUACUUCGGUACAUCGGUGACAGGUGGUGCAUGGUUGUCGUCAGCUCGUGUCGUGAGAUGUUGGGUUAAGUCCCGCAACGAGCGCAACCCCUAUUGUUAGUUGCCAUCAUUCAGUUGGGCACUCUAGCGAGACUGCCGGUAAUAAACCGGAGGAAGUGGGGAUGACGUCAAAUCAUCAUGCCCCUUAUGACCUGGGCGUACACACGUGCUACAAUGGUUGGUACAACGAGUUGCGAGUCGGUGACGGCGAGCUAAUCUCUUAAAGCCAAUCUCAGUUCGGAUUGUAGGCUGCAACUCGCCUACAUGAAGUCGGAAUCGCUAGUAAUCGCGGAUCAGCAUGCCGCGGUCGAAUACGUUCCCGGGCCUU
rnacentral:rRNA from 1 species